GAAGAACAGUCUUCAUUUUAUUAUAACCUUGUUGUUCUAACCUCUCAGGAAUAUCCCUGCUGCCACAGUCCACUGAAAAUGAAAAAUUUCAAUCAACCAAAAGGGUCUUGGUGAUAAGAUCUUACACAACCACUCUGAAUAAUCCUUUCACUGGACUGAUAGUUGUUUGAGCUGUUAUAGGCCCGACUUGUACCAUGUCUGCAAAAGCCCUCCAACACCACAAACAGCAGGACAUUGGAAGUUCAUUCUCUGCAUGGAGUAACAAGUUGGAGGGACAUCAAUUCUGUAGAGAGCUGGGAAACCCUAUUUAA
rnacentral:lncRNA from 1 species